rnacentral:rRNA from 1 species
GACGAACGCUGGCGGCGUGCUUAACACAUGCAAGUCGAACGGUGAAGCGCCUUCCUUUUUGGUGGGUGUGGAUGAGUGGCGAACGGGUGAGUAACACGUGAGUAACCUGCCCCCUUCUUCUGGAUAACCGCAUGAAAGUGUGGCUAAUACGGGAUAUUCUGGGUCUGUCGCAUGGUGGGUCUGGGAAAGAUAUUGUUUCGGUGGGGGAUGGGCUCGCGGCCUAUCAGCUUGUUGGUGGGGUGAUGGCCUACCAAGGCGGUGACGGGUAGCCGGCCUGAGAGGGUGGACGGUCACACUGGGACUGAGACACGGCCCAGACUCCUACGGGAGGCAGCAGGGGGGAAUAUUGCACAAUGGGCGCAAGCCUGAUGCAGCGACGCCGCGUGAGGGAUGGAGGCCUUCGGGUUGUGAACCUCUUUCGCCAGUGAAGCAGGCCUGCCUCGUUUGUGGGUGGGUUGACGGUAGCUGGAUAAGAAGCGCCGGCUAACUACGUG